ACGCUCGACACCUACGGGAGCCAGCAGUGAGGAAUAUUGGUCAAUGGGCGCUAGCCUGAACCAGCCAAGUAGCGUGAAGGAUGAAGGCUCUAUGGGUCGUAAACUUCUUUUAUAUAAGAAUAAAGUGCAGUAUGUAUACUGUUUUGUAUGUAUUAUAUGAAUAAGGAUCGGCUAACUCCGUGCCAGCAGCCGCGGUAAUCUGAGCGGGCUGGCAAGGC
rnacentral:rRNA from 1 species